rnacentral:rRNA from 1 species
UACGUAGGGGCCUAGCGUUGUCCGGAUUUAUUGGGCGUAAAGAGCUCGUAGGCGGUUCGGCAAGUCGGAUGUGAAAUCUCCACGCUUAACGUGGAGGGGCCAUUCGAAACUGCCGUGACUCGAGUCCGGUAGGGGAGUGUGGAAUUCCUGGUGUAGCGGUGAAAUGCGCAGAUAUCAGGAGGAACACCCAUGGCGAAGGCAGCAAACUGGUCAUCAACUGACGCUGAGGCGCGAAAGCGUGGGUAGCAAACAGG